AGCGAACGCUGGCGGCAGGCUUAACACAUGCAAGUCGAACGGUCCUUCGGGAUAGUGGCGGACGGGUGAGUAACACGUGGGAACGUACCCUUAGGUUCGGAACAACACAGGGAAACUUGUGCUAAUACCGGAUAAGCCCUUCGGGGGAAAGAUUUAUCGCCUUUGGAGCGGCCCGCGUCUGAUUAGCUUGUUGGUGAGGUAAUGGCUCACCAAGGCUACGAUCAGUAGCUGGUCUGAGAGGAUGGCCAGCCACACUGGGACUGAGACACGGCCCAGACUCCUACGGGAGGCAGCAGUGGGGAAUCUUGCGCAAUGGCGAAAGCCUGACGCAGCCAUGCCGCGUGGAUGAUGAAGGUCUCAGGAUUGUAAAAUCCUUUCACCAGGGACGAUGAUGACGGUACCCGGAGAAGAAGCCCCGGCUAACUUCGUGCCAGCCGCCGCUGUAA
rnacentral:rRNA from 1 species